rnacentral:misc_RNA from 1 species
UUUCCGUAGGUGAACCUGCGGAAGGAUCAUUAUUGAAUGAACUUGGUAGUGGUUGUAGCUGGCUCUCUCGAGAGCAUGUGCACACCCGCCAUCUUUAUCUUUCCACCUGUGCACUUCUUGUAGACUUUGGGAUUUGAAAACUUAUCCGGGGCAACUCGGUCGGUCGGAGCUGCUGUAGCAAUACGGCUCUCCUUGACAAGUCUUCAAAGUCUAUGUUUUUCAUAUACCCCAUAGUAUGUAACAGAAUGUAUACAAAUGAGCCUUAGUGCUUAUAAAACUUAUACAACUUUCAACAACGGAUCUCUUGGCUCUC